rnacentral:rRNA from 1 species
AUUGAACGCUGGCGGCAUGCCUUACACAUGCAAGUCGAACGGCAGCACGGGAGCUUGCUCCUGGUGGCGAGUGGCGAACGGGUGAGUAAUACAUCGGAACGUACCCAGUAGUGGGGGACAACGCACCGAAGGGUGCGCUAAUACCGCAUACGACCUACGGGUGAAAGCGGGGGACCGUAAGGCCUCGCGCUAUUGGAGCGGCCGAUGUCUGAUUAGCUAGUUGGCGGGGUAAUAGCCCACCAAGGCGACGAUCAGUAGCUGGUCUGAGAGGACGAUCAGCCACACUGGGACUGAGACACGGCCCAGACUCCUACGGGAGGCAGCAGUGGGGAAUUUUGGACAAUGGGGGCAACCCUGAUCCAGCAAUGCCGCGUGUGCGAAGAAGGCCUUCGGGUUGUAAAGCACUUUUGUCAGGGAAGAAAUCUUUCAGGCUAAUACCCUUGGAAGGAUGACGGUACCUGAAGAAUAAGCACCGGCUAACUACGUGCCAGCCGCCGCAGUAA